rnacentral:lncRNA from 1 species
CGCCGGCGCCUCCCCGCCGCCCCCGCGCUGCCCCCGGCCCGCGCCUCCCCGCUCCCCUGCGCGGGGCCUCCGCGGGGGUGGCCCGGGGAGCCCAGGCGGGACGCGCUCUCUGGGCGCAGGCUCGCUGAUAAACUUUUGGUCCGGUUCAUCACUCAUGUCACAGCCCUAGUGACGUGCGUACUAUUAUUAGCGUCACUUAGAGGUGAGGAAACAGGCUCAAAAAAUACCAAGUUACGUGCUUGAAGUCAAACCGAAGGCAGAGCUGCGAAGCAAAUCCAAGUCUGUCUUGACACAGCUGUGUGUCCUACUUCUCUUGGAUCAGCCUCUUCCCGGCUUUCAUUCCCGUGAGCAGCAAACAGCGCUCCCGGGGACAUCUGGGCACUCUCCCUUCUAACAAUGGAGAGGGGACGCAGUCAUUUUAGUUCCAGAACCAAAGGACAUUUAGCAGCAGCCUAGAGUGAAGACGGCAGUAGGAGACCUGGGUUACUUACGUAGAUUCCAAACAACAAUGCAGGAAUCCACAUACGGUGACGUUUGCAGCACUGUAGGAGUUAACCAGGCACGUUCACGCGUAUGGUGUCACAUCGGAGUCUCUCAGCAGUUCUGCACUGAGAAUAGCAGUUCCUGUCAGGGCGCUGGUGGUUGGCCAGCACAGAGCGCUGGUUGGUGCAUGCUUCUCCGCAGAUGUUGCCAAGUGUACAACAUGGAGGAAAAAGGCUUCAAGCAAUUGGGAGAGAAGUAGGCAACAUUAGGUCACUAGGCUCAACGGAGGGAGAAAAGAAGAUUCUGGAAAAUUCACUGGAGGGUUGAUAAGAACAGUUUAAUUAGAUUUUUUUUUUAUUGUGAAAUAUACAUAACACAAAAGAUGCCGUUUUAACCAUUUUUAAGGGUACAACUCAGUGGCGUUAAUUAUUGAAAAUGUUGUGUAACCACCACCAUGAUCUAUUUCCAAAACUUUUCCAUCACCCCAGACAGAAACUCUGAACCCUUCACACCAAGAUUUCCUAUACCCCCUUCCUCCAGGCCCUGAUAAACACUAGUGCACUUUCUGUCCCUAUGAAUUUGUCUAUUCUUGAUAUUUCAUAUAUUCUAUAUUUCAUACAGUAUCUGUCCCUUUGCGUCUGACUUCUUCCGGGGUUCAUCCCCGUUGUAGCAUGUAUCUGAACUUCAUUCCUGUUAACGGCUGAGUAUCCUAUUGUAUGUUCCUACCACAUUUUGUUUAUCCAUUUAUCUGCUGAUGGACACUUGGAUUGUUUCUACCUUCUGGCUAUUGUGAAUAAAGCUGCAAUGAACACUGGCUUACA